CGGGUAGUGGCUCAAUCCGGUAGAGCACGUGCUUUGGGUGCACGGGGUUGUAGGUUCAAAUCCUACCUACCCGA
rnacentral:tRNA from 1 species